CCUACGGGCGGCAGCAGUGAGGAAUAUUGGUCAAUGGGCGCGAGUCUGAACCAGCCAAGUAGCGUGAAGGAUGACUGCCCUACGGGUUGUAAACUUCUUUUAUAUAGGAAUACAAUGAUGCACGUGUGCCAUUUUUUAUGUACUUUAUGAAUAAGGAUCGGCUAACUCCGUGCCAGCAGCCGCGGUAAUACGGAGGAUCCGAGCGUUAUCCGGAUUUAUUGGGUUUAAAGGGAGCGUAGGUGGGUUGUUAAGUAAGUUGUGAAAGUUUGCGGCUCAACCGUAAAAUUGCAGUUGAUACUGGCAGCCUUGAGUACAGUAGAGGUGGGCGGAAUUCGUGGUGUAGCGGUGAAAUGCUUAGAUAUCACGAAGAACUCCGAUGGCGAAGGCAGUUCACUGGACUGCAACUGACACUGAGGCUCGAAAGUGUGGGUAUCAAACAGGAUUAGAUACCCUGGUAGUC
rnacentral:rRNA from 1 species